GGCCGAGUACCCAAGUGGACUAAGGGGACGGAUUGCAAAUCCGUUAUUCGUCGGUUCGAAUCCGACCUCGGCCU
rnacentral:tRNA from 1 species